rnacentral:rRNA from 1 species
GACGAACGCUGGCGGCGUGCUUAACACAUGCCAGUCGAACGGUGAAGCGCCUUCCUUUUUGGUGGGUGUGGAUGAGUGGCGAACGGGUGAGUAACACGUGAGUAACCUGCCCCCUUCUUCUGGAUAACCGCAUGAAAGUGUGGCUAAUACGGGAUAUUCUGGGUCUGUCGCAUGAUGGGUCUGGGAAAGAUAUUGUUUCGGUGGGGGAUGGGCUCGCGGCCUAUCAGCUUGUUGGUGGGGUGAUGGCCUACCAAGGCGGUGACGGGUAGCCGGCCUGAGAGGGUGGACGGUCACACUGGGACUGAGACACGGCCCAGACUCCUACGGGAGGCAGCAGUGGGGAAUAUUGCACAAUGGGCGCAAGGCUGAUGCAGCGACGCCGCGUGAGGGAUGGAGGCCUUCGGGUUGUGAACCUCUUUCGCCAGUGAAGCAGGCCUGCCUCGUUUGUGGGUGGGUUGACGGUAGCUGGAGAAGAAGCGCCGGCUAACUACGUG